rnacentral:rRNA from 1 species
GACGAACGCUGGCGGCGUGCUUAACACAUGCAAGUCGAACGGAAAGGCCCUGCUUUUGUGGGGUGCUCGAGUGGCGAACGGGUGAGUAACACGUGAGUAACCUGCCCUUGACUUUGGGAUAACUUCAGGAAACUGGGGCUAAUACCGGAUAGGAGCUCCUGCUGCAUGGUGGGGGUUGGAAAGUUUCGGCGGUUGGGGAUGGACUCGCGGCUUAUCAGCUUGUUGGUGGGGUAGUGGCUUACCAAGGCUUUGACGGGUAGCCGGCCUGAGAGGGUGACCGGCCACAUUGGGACUGAGAGACGGCCCAGACUCCUACGGGAGGCAGCGGUGGGGAAUAUUGCACAAUGGGCGGAAGCCGGAUGCAGCAACGCCGCGUGCGGGAUGACGGCCUUCGGGUUGUAAACCGCUUUCGCCUGUGACGAAGCGUGAGUGACGGUAAUGGGUAAAGAAGCACCGGCUAACUACGU